AAGACCUGAGGACUCCUAAACAAACUCAGCGAAUCCCACUGACUACAGCCCAGCAAUAUGGAUGGUGGUUGCCACAGGACCCCAAGGCAAAUCCAGAAAGUGCCCAUCCUUGGAUUCAGAGUACACGAUACCCCAUGAUCAAUAGUCCUAUGACCAGGUUUGUGGAUCAAAUGAAGGUGACCAACAAAGAAUUCCGUUUAUUUUAACAUCUACCAUAAAGCAUGGAUGACACCAGUAAAU